rnacentral:rRNA from 1 species
UAAGACAGAGGGUGCAAACGUUGCUCGGAAUUACUGGGCGUAAAGCGCGUGUAGGCGGACCAACAAGUCAGGCGUGAAAUCCCUGGGCUCAACCCAGGAACUGCACCUGAAACUGUUGGUCUUGAGUGGUGGAGAGGGAAGCAGAAUUCCUGGUGUAGAGGUGAAAUUCGUAGAUAUCAGGAGGAACACCGGUGGCGAAGGCGGCUUCCUGGACACUAACUGACGCUGAGACGCGAAAGCGUGGGGAGCAAACAGGAUUAGAUACCCUGGUAGUCCACGCCGUAAACGAUGAGUGCUGGGUGUCGCGGGUUUUGACCCCUGCGGUGCCGUAGCUAACGCGUUAAGCACUCCGCCUGGGGAGUACGGCCGCAAGGCUA